CGCUUUUUAUAAAAUGGCUACCUUGAAAAUUUAAAUUUAUUUAUCGUAUUUUGAUUCGUUAUAAAUCAUUUAAAUUCUAGUGGAAUUCUAUAAAUAUUUUUAAAUCUACUCAAUGACUAGUGAUAUAAAUUAUAGAAUACCGGUAGAUAGUGAGGAUUCUCAAUUGAGUGAUUCGUCUGAUGAAGAAUAUUUACCAUGUGAUACUGGGGCAAUUGAAUCAGAUUAUUCGGAUAUUGAAA